UACGUAGGGUCCGAGCGUUGUCCGGAAUUACUGGGCGUAAAGAGCUCGUAGGUGGUUUGUCGCGUUGUCCGUGAAAACUCACAGCUUAACUGUGGGCGUGCGGGCGAUACGGGCAGACUGGAGUACUGCAGGGGAGACUGGAAUUCCUGGUGUAGCGGUGGAAUGCGCAGAUAUCAGGAGGAACACCGGUGGCGAAGGCGGGUCUCUGGGCAGUAACUGACGCUGGAGGCGC
rnacentral:rRNA from 1 species